AAUCGGCAUUUGAUGAGUCAAUUUUUCAAUGGGUAAUUUGCGUCUGAAUUUAAUUGAUGCUAACCUGAAAAUCUGAUGCCUACA
rfam:Spinacia oleracea cultivar SynViroflay scaffold5891.con0008.1, whole genome shotgun sequence.